AUGGCUUUAGGGACGGACCUCUGUCCAAACAGUUACUGGCAAUAUUUCUCCUGGUGCCACACUUUCCUUCCCUAUGGGAAGAAAUACUAUACUGUUGGCCUGGCAGCUGUUUGCUGGGCUAUCUGGUUGGCUAGAAAUCGAGCCACCUUUGAGAAGAAACAGAUUAAGACACCGUUUGAGAUUGUGUUUUCUGUGUGCUCCUUUUUUCUAUAUUGGGCAGGUCUUCAGCAAGGUGAUGGAGUCAAGGAGCUGCGCAGUGGGGCGGCGAUGGUCAGGUCAAGCACUAUGAGCAUGAUGAAGAUGUGCGAGGCGGCGAGGAGACCGAUCGAGGGAGAAUGA
rnacentral:rRNA from 1 species